GGGAAACCAAAACAGGACAGUGUAUGGGCUGAAGGAAGCCACGUGAUGGGAGUUCUCAGUCUGAGCACUAGUCCUAGGACUGAAGCAGACGUAUGGACAGACACCGGGGCCAAAGUCCAGGGAGCUUGGAGUUGAGAUGACCAGGACAGAGAGGAAAUAUUCUCAGCCGCUUUCAUUUAUUCUGGGCCUCUGAUUGAUGGGAUUCCCUGAUUUGAGUAGAAGUCCACACUGAGACUCCCUCAACUCGGUCAGGUCAGCCCUGAAAUCAGUUAUCAGAUAAAUCUAAGCCUGCUUCCCACCAUUGUAUUUUACCUUAGUAAAGUCCAUCUGCUUGUCA
rnacentral:lncRNA from 1 species